rnacentral:rRNA from 1 species
CCCUUAGAUGUUCUGGGCCGCACGCGCGCUACACUGAUGCAUUCAACGAGCCUAUCCUUGACCGACAGGUCCGGGUAAUCUUUGAAUCUGCAUCGUGACGGGGAUAGAUUAUUGCAAUUAUUAAUCUUCAACGAGGAAUGCCUAGUAGGCGCAAGUCAUCAGCUUGCGUCGAUUACGUCCCUGCCCUUUGUACACACCGCCCGUCGCACCUACCGAUUGAAUGGUCCGGUGAGGACUCGGGAUUGUGGUUUAGCUCCUUCAUUGGGGCCUGACUGCGAGAACUUGUCCGAACCUUAUCAUUUAGAGGAAGGUGAAGUCGUAACA